rnacentral:rRNA from 1 species
AAGGGUGCGUAGGCGGAUGUGUAAGUCAGGUGUGAAAGCCCUCGGCUCAACCGGGGAAUUGCGCUUGAAACUGCACGUCUAGAGCAUGUCAGAGGCAGGCGGAAUUCCCGGAGUAGCAGUGAAGUGCGUAGAUAUCGGGAAGAACACCGGUGGCGAAGGCGGCCUGCUGGGACAGUGCUGACGCUGAGGCACGAAAGCGCGGGGAGCGAACGGGAUUAGAUACCCCGGUAGUCCACGCCGUAAACGAUGGAUACUAGAUGUUGGACACGCUGAAGUGUUCAGUGUCGAAACAAAUGCGAUAAGUAUCCCGCCUGGGGAGUACGACCGCAAGGUUUAAACUCAAAGGAAUUGACGGGGGCCCGCACAAGCGGUGGAGCAUGUGGUUUAAUUCGAUGCAACGCGAAGAACCUUACCCGGAUUUGACAUCCUUCGGACCGUCUCUGGAGACAGAGACUUUCUCUUCGGAGACCGAAGUGACAGGUGCUGCAUGGCUGUCGUCAGCUCGUGUUGUGAAAUGUUGGGUUAAGUCCCGCAACGAGCGCAACCCUUGUUCUUAGUUGCCAGCAUUAAGAUGGGCACUCUAAGAAGACUGCCGAGGUUAACUCGGAGGAAGGUGGGGAUGACGUCAAGUCCUCAUGGCCCUUAUGUCCGGGGCUACACACGUGCUACAAUGGUAUAGACAGAGGGAAGCUACGCCGCAAGGCCACGCGGAUCCUCAAACUGUAUCACAGUUCGGAUCGGGGUCUGCAACUCGACCUCGUGAAGGUGGAAUCGCUAGUAAUCGCGGAUCAGCAUGCCGCGGUGAUAAGUUCCCGGGACUUGUACACACCGCCCGUCACACCAUGGAAGUUGUCUUCACNUGGAAGAUGCUGAGCCAGCCAGGCAGG